CUUUACCCCAGAAAUGCAAGCAGCCUCCAUCCACGAGGGAUCAAUAGCUCAGCUCUCUAACAUUAUAACACACAGUUCAUAUGUGAAGGAGUCCUCUAGACUCCUUUCUGCUACCUCCACGGCCUUGAUUCUGCCCUGGUGCAUGGCAGGUCUGUCUACUCGAAUAAGUAAAGAGCCCAGGCUGCUGAGUCAUGUCUUAGCAACCACGAAAGAGUUAAUUAAGUAGGCCUGCAGUGAGCACAAUGCCCCCCUCUGACUAUUUCAGGGGAAAACCUGACAGAUGAUGGGUUCCUGCUCUGCUGGGAAUAUUUCUUCCUUGAGUUCUGGCAGCUUUUUCUUGGCCACAGAGUAUCUAAGACCCACUUUGCCUUUUCUGGUCAUAAACACUUAGAGUGUUGAAUCUGAAGUCUUGAUUACUUUAUUUUUUAACGGUUCCUUUGAAAAGCCAGUUGUUUCCAUAGUGAUGCAUUCUGUUUGUUUAAGUCCUUCUAUAUGAUUCCACCCACAAGCUCCUUACUAAGGGACUAGUUCACAACUGCCCUUUCCCCUAGCUUCCUAUUUUCUCUUACACACACACACACACACACACACACACACACACACACACACACACGGGGCAGGGGUGGGGUGCUGUCAGAAUUGAGCUACAGAAGUCCAUUCUUAGAUAAGAGCCCUGGAUCUGGUAGACAAAUGAUUUUGAUGUGUAUCAGGGUGGAAGGCUAAUGGUGCUUCCCCCAGCUGGGUUAGUAGUCACAGGCCUGGGCUGCUACAGAGCCUUUCCCUGCUUGUGAUCAGAACCAGGUGUUGGGCUAGGCUGUUUAUUUAGAAUUUGGGGGUUGGGCAGUUUCAGAACACCCCGCUAGGAAGCAGCACUUGUAACCAGCAUCAUCAAAAGGAUGACUUUUGUGCUGUCACUCCCCCUCAGGGGGAUGAUGAUGUCACUCAGCAUAGGGACAGUCCUGUUCUCAAGUGGCUUCCAGGAGUAUAGAUGUGUCACUGUUCAAACAGAGCCUUGGUUCCCAGUUCGACCCAUCGGAUUGGCUCUUUAGACAAAUCCUGUAGUCUGAAGGGGAUGGGAGCCCAGGGAGUUAAGUUAGACUGCUGUCCCCACUGAACCGGCUAGAAGACUGAUGGAUAAAGCACACCAGGGGAACAAGGCAGCGCUGGAGGUGACAAGGUUCAUCCGACACUCCCAGUGGCCUAGUGAAGGAACACACAGCAGCCUCCUGAAGGGGUACUAGGCCUAUGAGGCAGCCCUGCAAGGGUUGGUUGUUGACAGUCUGCAGACUGCGCUAACCAGGUGGCUUCCUUGCACCUUGCUGGGUAACAAGCCUCCCUUAGCCACAGAACUGCCUGCAGGGCAGAAAUAGGGAGCAACUUGACAGAUCCACUGCAGAGCUCUUGGGAGUGAGGUAGAGAGAGCUUCGGCCUGAGUCAUGCAGACCUGGGCAUGUGUCCCAGCACAGCCCUUCCAGAAUUACCCAGGAGCAGCCAGCCAAUCAACCUUCGAGCCUCAGUCUCCUCAGCCAUGAAAUGAACCCACAGGCAAGCCUCCUCCCAGGAGUCUUGAAAGGGUUGACAUCUGACACUUCACAUGCCCUGCUAACCCUAGUCAUGACUCUUAGGAUGCGUGGGUGGUCCUUUUCUGAUACAAGGCCCUCGGACCAUGCCCAUUCCCUGGGUGUUCCCUGAACCCUGCAGAUGCUGCUGCUGCAGCCAUUGAGGUUGGAGGUGAGGAGGCUUUCCAGAGAAUGGUCAAAAUGAAAAUUGUGGAGCUAAUCAUAUUAAGAACUGAUUACACUUAAAUUAAAUCCCCCUCAGACAUUCAAGCUGAAGAAAGCUCUCAGGUGCUGAAGUGGCUUAGCGCUGAUGCUCAGCUGGCCGUCAGAUGCCCUACCACAUGCUCCGGGGUAAUUGGUGCAAGCACCCCUAUGGCUGGAACCCAAGACUCCACUGCUUCCUCCCCUUGAGAUCACUCUUUGACAUCUGCCAGGCCCACAAACAGGUCACCCACUGAUUAAGUACACAAAAAAUGCACCCCACCCCCACAUUGUUUUCUCUUCUACUGGCUGGCCUUUCUACAUCCUAUACUGAAUGACUUGGCCUAGAAGAUGAAACAAGACUGCUAGGCUUAGAGCUGUGUUCAUGCCUGGGCUUUUAUGUCCAGAGACUGUCAGAUGCAGUGGUGGGCAGAUAAAAAGGAGACACAAUCUCUUUCACUACAAAUAAAAGCAACCAAGGGGAGUUGGAUUG